AUUUGUUUAGCCGUAUGCCCGAACUGUCGCAAGAUGUAUACUUCUUAUGACAUGUACAUUUAGGGGCUACAAAAGGAAUUGUGAAAUAAUAAACAACGUUUGAGGACAGAUAGUGCUUUUAAACUUGUGGUUUUUGCUUAUGGCACAAAUUCUUUACCAUGAGUCAGACUCGUGGUUAUUAGCCAAGGAGUUAACAGUCAGUUGUGCAAAGGCUCACCGUGACGAUGGAGGGACGUGGCGCGCCAGUGAAGUGCUCGAUCACUUCCCAGUUGGAUUUUCUCAGCGGUGUAUGAGGAGUUCGAGGAGUGUUGGGUGUAUGCGGUUGAGAAGAUGGUGUCGAGGACUUGGAUCCCGGGGGAUCGAGCAACAGCUCCACCUUCGGCUUGCCACCGUCGCUGUUGCUCACGUGCUGUCGCAAGCUGGCCCAUCUUCGCGUGCUUCUCACGGACCCGGUUACAGAUCUGGUAGCCACCUCGCCCUGUAAAUCAAAUCGUUCCACUAGGUUACCGUUUGUGGAUGAUGAACGUGAUGGAAUUGGGGAUGAUGAACACGAUGCUUUGGAUGAAGAAUGGUUGAAGCAAUGGAGGCUAGAAGGGUCUAACGCCUUUGGAUCUUCUAUAACUUAAGACCACAUAGAAAAGACCACGCGUAAAUUGAAUCUUAUUUGUGUUAGAAAGUUAUGUUCACGUGGAAAGGCGGAUUUGUUCUGGAAUUAGGAAGAAUGAUGAAUUAGAACGUGAUGAUAUUGAUGAAUGAUAGAAUGGUGUAGAGUCUUUGAAUCUUCUAUUUUGUUAAUUUGCAUAAAUAUUUGUAUUAUUUUAGUAAUUUAGUAAUUAGUAAAUUUUAAUAAUUUACAUAAGGAAGAGAUGCAUAGAUUGAAUUUCAUUUAUGUUGAAGAGUUAUAUUCAUAUGCAGAAGUGGGCUUCUAGUUGGUGGGAUUAGCCUGUUACGUCAUCCAAUUGAUUCUGGCUAAUUUAUUUGUUAAUCCAUCGCUUUAUAGUUGGAAUAUAUGGUUGUUGAAGUGAUUACCUCACGAAAAACUCUAUGCCCUUUUUUCUUUCAUAUAUCUGUGACCUAGAGACCGUUGUUACCAAGAGAAUAGAAUUUAGUGAAAGAAAAAAUUGAAAAUAAGGAGAGGUCCAUAUUAUUCUGCCUUUGAAUGUAAAUUUUCUUUUGGGUUACAAGGUCUAGAAAGAAAAGAGCUACAAUAGAUUUCUAUUACUGUUUCUUGUAGCCUUCAGCUACAGCUACAAUGUUAAUUUUUUAGUAAUGUCCUUCGCUAUAAAUAUAUGAACGUGC
rnacentral:misc_RNA from 1 species